rnacentral:rRNA from 1 species
GACUUCCCCUAAUCAUCUGUCCCACCUUAGACGGCUGGCUCCCGAAGGUUACCCCACCGGCUUUGGGUGUUACAAACUCUCAUGGUGUGACGGGCGGUGUGUAAAAACACCCGGGAUACAGUAUUCACGACGUUUGAGACCACGUUACGGACCAUCACCGUUGAUUGCAUAAAAAAUGGUCUGCACACUAUAGAUGGUCCCGCGGGCUUAGUUAGUUGGAGAGGUAUGGUCACCAUAAGAUCAUCCCCUGGAGAGACUGAUCGGCAAUUGAACUGACACACGGCCAUACUCCUACGGGAGGCAGCAGUAGGGAAUCUUCCACAAUGGGCGAAAGCCUGAUGGACAACGCCGCGUGUGUGAUGAAGGGUUUCGCUCGUAAAACACUGUUGUAAAGAAGAUGACUUCAAGUACUGUUCUGUCGACGGGACUUACCAAAGGAACGUAAAACGUGUCCAACAGCCGGGAAAUACUUUAUGGUUCCAAUUAUCCGGAUUUAUGCCCUAAAUUGAGCGCAUCGUUAUUUUACUUUUGAAUUAAACCUCAGCUCAACUGCGAAUUUGCAUUUGCAAACUGGAUUGACUUGAGGCCCUUAAAGAAAAAAGCA